UACGGAAGGCAGCAGUGGGGAAUAUUGCACAAUGGGCGCAAGCCUGAUGCAGCCAUGCCGCGUGUAUGAAGAAGGCCUUCGGGUUGUAAAGUACUUUCAGUCGUGAGGAAGGUGUUAAGGUUAAUAACCUUAGCAAUUGACGUUAGCGACAGAAGAAGCACCGGCUAACUCCGUGCCAGCAGCCGCGGUAAUACGGAGGGUGCGAGCGUUAAUCGGAAUUACUGGGCGUAAAGGGCACGCAGGCGGUUAAUUAAGUUGGAUGUGAAAUCCCCGGGCUUAACCUGGGAAUGGCAUUCAAGACUGGUUAGCUAGAGUCUUGUAGAGGGGGUAGAAUUCCAUGUGUAGCGGUGAAAUGCGUAGAGAUGUGGAGGAAUACCGGUGGCGAAGGCGGCCCCUGGGACAAAGACUGACGCUCAGUGUGCGAAAGCGUGGGGAGCAAACAGGAUUA
rnacentral:rRNA from 1 species